AUGCGACAUUCGUCGUACGAACAUGUUCCAAAUCGGAUAAUUCCUCCGCAUAUUCCAAUUGAUGCUAGACGUGGCGAUUUCGAUAGACGUCCUGGCCCGCCGGUUCCUUCUAUGAGAGCUGCAAUUCUUGGAGGAAGUGAUCCGUAUCACGGAUUUCAGCCGGUGGUGGACACCUAUAAUGGACCCGUAGUGGAUAAUUCGAGAAGACGUGGUUUCGAUAAGGGGCCGUUUGGAGAGGAUUUGACGACGAUGGGAAGAAAUGAAGGGAGACAGCCGUUGCUCAGACAUUUUCAGCCGAGACUAGACUUUGAGCACAUUGGCGGAGAAAUGGAAAUCGCGAGAAGUCGGUCUGCAUCUCCAGAAAUUCAAGUUAUCAGUGCAAGAUCUGUCCGUGAUGAUCGUAGAAGAGACAAGCCACGCCAAAGACGAUCCUCUCGAUCCCGAUCUCGUGACAGAGGUGACAAGGAUCAUCGAAAACCAGCAGCUUCUCGACGUAGUGAUCGAGAAUCAACAUAUCGUGAACGUCUCGGAUCGUCUUCAGGCCCCGCGGCGGCUCCAGAUAUUAUUCGAGAUGGAAUGGUGUGGGCCAACGAUAAUUAUUUCGAAUUUUUGAGUUUUUAUAUCGAAGUGCUCAACGAGAAGCUUCGUAGUUCUGUUGAUAGAGAUGUGAAAGGAAUUCGAGAGAUUCGAGAAGUUAUUACUCCUGCUACCGAACCCGAAAAGGACCGGAUCGUCUUGCCACCGAACUUUAAUCGUUCUGAUCGUGAACGUAUGCUUCACUGUGACACUACCAUCACCGGGCUCCCCACAGCAAUUUUCUUCGGUAGUGGAUAUGGUCCACGUGAACAUUACGCAAAAUACUCGGCCGCCAAGGAUUUCUUUGAUAAAUGUCUUAAAAUUCGAGUUAUGGAUGAUGAAUUACACGCGGCGAUUGGUGAAUGGCCGAGAUUGGAUAGAACUUUUAAAACUCAGUUUAAAGUUAACAUUUCGAAGUCUGUGAACGCUGUGAUUCUGUUGAUAAAGCGAAUGGCAAAUGAGCAACUUCCACCUGGAUUCAUGACGAUGCGUACACUUCCAAUCGAUAUUAUCGACAGAUUCAAGUUUCUUCUUCGAAUGGUCGUGGCAGACGUCUACUACCAGGGAACAGAAUCAUCGAUGGCUGUGCCAAAAGCUCUGGAGACCGUCGGAACAUUGACAAUUCGACGUGCCUAUUCACCUACCUGCAAGGAUUUCCGUGGGCGUUGACUGGAGGAAUGGUCGCGUUGGAUACAAUGGAUAUUAAUAAACCACCGCCUCCCCAAGCCAUCUAUCAAGCCGCGCGGAUUCAGUUUUUCCAGUCCCUUCACACUCUCAUUCCGCCACCGAUUUUUGGAAAAAUGCGCAAAUGUGUGGAUUCGGGCAAUGAUAUGGAUUGGUGCAUGCAAGUCAUUUCCAGUGAUGAUUUUCGAGAGAUUCUUCAACGAGUGGUUGCAUCGAAAAUAAAUCCGAUCUACUCAAUUCUGUGGUCCACAAAACCGAUGGACUAUGAUCCGACGAAUCAAGAGUUUUCAUAUGCGAGAUCAGCACUGUUCAGACAAGUCGAAGCGGAAGUGAGAUCAUUUUGGACUUAUGAGAAGAUUGGAGUUUAUUUGAAAAUGUAUUUUAAGACUGUUGAAUGA
rnacentral:misc_RNA from 1 species